GAUGAACGCUAGCGGCAGGCUUAAUACAUGCAAGUCGAGGGACAGCACAGGUAGCAAUACUGGGUGGUAACCGGCAAACGGGUGCGGAACACGUACACAACCUUCCUUUAAGUGGGGGAUAGCCCAGAGAAAUUUGGAUUAAUACCCCGUAAUAUAGUUGAAUGGCAUCAUUUGAUUAUUAUAGCUACGGCGCUUAAUGAUGGGUGUGCGGCUGAUUAGAUAGUUGGCGGGGUAACGGCCCACCAAGUCUACGAUCAGUAGCUGAUGUGAGAGCAUGAUCAGCCACACGGGCACUGAGACACGGACCCGACGCCUACGGGAGGCAGCAGUAAGUAAUAUUGGUCAAUGGACGCAAGUCUAAACCAGCCAUGCCGCGUGAAGGAUUAAGGUCCUCUGGAUUGUAAACUUCUUUUAUUUGGGACGAAAAAGGGCCUUUCUAGGUCAACUGACGGUACCAGAUGAAUAAGCACCGGCUAACUCCGUGCCAGCCGCCGCAGUAAUAC
rnacentral:rRNA from 1 species